rnacentral:rRNA from 1 species
AUUGAACGCUGGCGGCAGGCCUAACACAUGCAAGUCGAGCGAGAGGCGGACGGGUGAGUAAUGUCUGGGAAAAUGCCUGAUGGGGAGGGGUAACACCUGGAAACGGUAGCUCAUACCGCGUACCCUCAGAGGUGCCCCGAUGGGAUUAGCUAGUAGGUGGGGUAACGGCGCACCUAGGCGACGAUCCCUAGCUGGUCUGAGAGGGUGACCAGCCACACUGGAACUGAGACACGGUCCAGACUCCUACGGGAGGCAGCAGUGGGGAAUAUUGCACAAUGGGCGCAAGCCUGAUGCAGCCAUGCCGCGUGUGUGAAGAAGGCCUUCGGGUUGUAAAGCACUUUCAGCGGGGAGGCGUUACCCGCAGAAGAAGCACCGGCUAACUCCGUGCCAGCAGCCGCGGUAAUUC